rnacentral:rRNA from 1 species
GUUCUAACACAUGCAAGUCGAGUGGAUGAAGGGAGCUUGCUCCCGGAUUCAGCGGCGGACGGGUGAGUAAUGCCUAGGAAUCUGCCUGGUAGUGGGGGACAACGUUCCGAAAGGAACGCUAAUACCGCAUACGUCCUACGGGAGAAAGUGGGGGAUCUUCGGACCUCACGCUAUCAGAUGAGCCUAGGUCGGAUUAGCUAGUUGGUGGGGUAAUGGCUCACCUAGGCGACGAUCCGUAACUGGUCUGAGAGGAUGAUCAGUCACACUGGAACUGAGACACGGUCCAGACUCCUACGGGAGGCAGCAGUGGGGAAUAUUGGACAAUGGGCGAAACCCUGAUCCACCCAUGCCGCGUGUGUGAAGAAGUCUUCUGAUUGUAAAGCACUUUAGUUGGGAGGAGGGGCCGUAAGUUAAUACCUUGCUGUUUUGACGUUUCCACAGAAUAAGCACC